AAAGAAAGUAAGCAAGGGCGCAUGGCGGAUGCCUUGGCUCUCGGAGGCGAUGAAGGACGUGAUAAGCUGCGAUAAGCUUCGGGCAGGUGCAAAUAACCUUUGAUCCGAAGAUUUCCGAAUGGGACAACCCGUCAUUCUGAAGGAAUGACAUCUUGCAUAGCAAGAGGCUAACGCAGGGAACUGAAACAUCUUAGUACCUGUAGGAAAAGAAAAUAAUAAUGAUUCCCCUAGUAGUGGCGAGCGAACGGGGAUUAGCCCAAACCAAUGUUGUUACGGCAAUAUUGGGGUUGUAGGACCACGAUGUCGCAAGAAGUUUAGUGAGAAGAACCCUUUGGAAAAUGGGACCAUAGACGGUGAUAGUCCGGUAUUCGAAGCUAAAUGAAGCGUAGUGGUAUCCUGAGUAGCGCGGGACACGAGGAAUCUUGCGUGAAUCUGCCGGGACCAUCCGGUAAGGCUAAAUACUCCCGAGAGACCGAUAGCGAACCAGUACUGUGAAGGAAAGGUGAAAAGCACUUCGAAUAGAAGAGUGAAAUAAUCCCUGAAACCGUGCGCCUACAAGCGGUCGGAGCUGCUUCAGCAGUGACGGCGUGCCUUUUGCAUAAUGAACCUACGAGUUACUUUUUCCGGCAAGGUUAAGGAUCUUGAGAUCGGCAGCCGAAGCGAAAGCGAGUCUGAAUAGGGCGAUUAGUCGGAAGGAGUAGACGCGAAACCAAGUGAUCUACCCUUGGUCAGGUUGAAGGUUAGGUAACACUAACUGGAGGACCGAACCGAUAAGCGUUGAAAAGCUUCCGGAUGAGCUGAGGGUGGGGGUGAAAGGCUAAUCAAACUUGGAGAUAGCUCGUACUCCCCGAAAUGCAUUUAGGUGCAGCCUUGGGAAUUACUACUGUGAGGUAGAGCGACUGAUAAGAUGCGAGGGCUUCACCGCCUAUCAAGUCUUGAUAAACUCCGAAUGCGCAGUAGUUCGAUCCCAGGAGUGAGGGCAUGGGUGCUAAGGUCCAUGUCCUAAAGGAGAAGAAUCCAGACCAUCAGCUAAGGUCCCGAAAUAAUUGCUAAGUUGAACUAACGAAGUCAGAUUGCUAAGACAGCUAGGAUGUUGGCUUGGAAGCAGCCAUUCAUUUAAAGAGUGCGUAACAGCUCACUAGUCGAGGAGUUUGGCGUGGAUAAUAAUCGGGCAUUAAGCAAUUUACCGAAGCUAUGGGAUGUUAACUAAACACUAACAUCGGUAGGGGAGCAUUCCACUCUGCGUCGAAGGUGAAGCGUGAGCUUUGCUGGAGCGUGUGGAAAAGCAAAUGUAGGUAUAAGUAACGAUAAAGGGGGUGAGAAACCCCCUCGCCGAAAGACUAAGGUUUCCUGAUCAACGCUAAUCGGAUCAGGGUUAGUCGGGUCCUAAGGCUCAGCCGAACGGUGAGGCCGAUGGCAGAACAGGUUAAUAUUCCUGUACUACCUUAAGGAGUGACGUGGAGACGGAGGAGUGACAACGCCGCGGACUGACGGAAUAGUCCGUUGAAGGGUGUAGAUGUUGAUUAUCCCAGGCAAAUCCGGGAUAAGAGUCGAACCUGAUAGUAUACCAAAUUCUUCGGAAUAAGGUAAUAGUGCGUGUAAGCAUACUCCCAAGAAAAUCCGCUAAACUUAAUCUUUAAGGUACCCGUACCGCAAACGGACACACGUAGUCGGGUUGAAUAUACUAAGGCGCUUGAGUGAUUCACGGUUAAGGAACUAGGCAAAUUGACCCUGUAACUUCGGGAUAAAGGGUCCCAACGAGAGUUGGGCGCAGAGAAUAGGUCCAGGCAACUGUUUAACAAAAACACAGGGCUGUGCUAAAUUGAAAGAUUACGUAUACAGCCUGACACCUGCCCGGUGCUGGAAGGUUAAGAGGAGAUGUCAUCGCAAGAGAAGCAUUGAAUUGAAGCCCCAGUAAACGGCGGCCGUAACUAUAACGGUCCUAAGGUAGCGAAAUUCCUUGUCGGGUAAGUUCCGACCUGCACGAAUGGUGUAAUGAUCUGGACACUGUCUCAACCGUGAGCUCAGUGAAAUUGUAGUAUCGGUGAAGAUGCCGAUUACCCGCGAUGGGACGAAAAGACCCCGUGAACCUUUACUAUAGCUUAACAUUGAAUUUGGGUAAUUGAUGUGUAGGAUAGGCCGGAGACUUUGAAGCAGGUACGCCAGUAUUUGUGGAGUCGCUGUUGAAAUACGGCCCUUUGAUUAUUUGAGUUCUAACUCGUAGAUACGAGGACACUGUUUGGUGGGUAGUUUGACUGGGGUGGUCGCCUCCAAAAGUGUAACGGAGGCUUCUAAAGGUGCCCUCAGGACGAUUGGUAACCGUCCGUAGAGUGUAAUGGCAUAAGGGCGCUUGACUGGGAGACAGACAAGUCGAUCAGGUAGGAAACUAGAGCAUAGUGAUCCGGUGUUUCCGUAUGGAAGGGACAUCGCUCAAAGGAUAAAAGGUACUCCGGGGAUAACAGGCUGAUCCCUCCCAAGAGCUCAUAUCGACGGAGGGGUUUGGCACCUCGAUGUCGGCUCGUCACAUCCUGGGGCUGGAGAAGGUCCCAAGGGUUGGGCUGUUCGCCCAUUAAAGUGGCACGCGAGCUGGGUUCAGAACGUCGUGAGACAGUUCGGUCUCUAUCUAUCGUGGGCGUAUGAAAUUUGCGUGGCUCUGACACUAGUACGAGAGGACCGUGUUGGACUGACCGCUGGUUUACCAGUUGUGCCGCCAGGUGCAUUGCUGGGUAUCUAAGUCGGGAUUGGAUAAGUGCUGAAAGCAUCUAAGUACGAAGCCAGCCACAAGAUUAGAUUUCUUAGGGUCGUCAAAGACGAUGACGUUGAUAGGAUGCAGGUGUAAAGGUGGUAACAUCAAAGCCGAGCAUUACUAAUUGCCCGUUCACUUUCUUU
rnacentral:rRNA from 1 species